UUCAACUCCACAUCUUUGUUUCAUAUGCUCUUCCAUUCCAGAUGCCAUCAUGGCAGACUGCCCCUCUGCUAUCAUCUGUCACAUAGUAACAACAUGGAAUGGAAUGGAAUGGAAUGGAAUGUUAUGGAAUGGAAUGGAAUAUUGGUGGGAAGGCUCAACCUCUGCUGCCAUACCACCAGUAUUCACCCCUGAGGUUGUGGGCUAGUGUAAUAAAAUAUGUUUUAUAGGCAGGCGUUACUUUCAGAGCAGCCCUCAUACACCUCUGCUGGACAGUCCACAUAGUAGGACAGAUCUCUGCAGAGCUUUAUUGGCAACUUUCCUCCACUGCAGGAGUUAACCAUUAACUCAUCCCUCCCCACUCACAGUCCCUUUCCUAUUUAUUAAUAAUCAAUCAGGCUUUACUAAUUAAGUCAUUCUUUCAAGCCUAAGCUUCUUCUAAAAGUGUCUGAGACAUAAUGAGAAGCCCUUUGAAAAUCCAGUAAACUCGUAUUAGCUAGAUUUUAUUGCUUACUGAUCUCUUUCAAGCAAUUUAAAACACUUCAAAAAGCCUUUCUCAGAUAAAGUAGAAUAAAACCAAAGUUUGCGGUGCAUUUAAAAUAAUGUGUAAUGUGAGGCAAUCCAGUAGUAAGCAGAUGCUUCAUGCAGAAGAAGAUAUUUAGUAAGUAUGCAAUAUUUGUAAUAUGUAUGUAAGCCAGAAGACACUGUUCAGACUGCUGGGUUACCUCUGCUGUGUUAAUUACUUGCAAUAAAAGACUUUACAUCUUUAGCUAAGGUCUUAACAUCCAGAUGAAUUCAUUAUGCAAGCUGUGCAGUAAUAACUCUAUAUCUAAAUACACAGUCAAUUCUUUAUUCUGUGGGGGCAAUCUAUAUAUAUGUGUUGGUAAUGAGAUAAACACGAGUAGAUACAAACUGAUUUUGUAUACAAAGUAGUUCAGAUAUAUACAAGACCACAUCAGUAAGCUUAUGAAUUAUUUAUUCUCCAGUGUCUUUAAUCGUCUGUGCAUUGCAAGCCACCCAACGUGAUACUUGAGCUUCUUUUUUUCAGCUGAGAUUGCUUCCAAUCAAGAUGCUGGAAUACUACCACUGAAUAGGCAUUUCAGCAGAGUUAAGAAGCUUGACUUCCAUUUUCAACUUCAGAUAUUAACAUCUAUGAGAGAACUAAAAACCAUGCAACCUCUAA